rnacentral:rRNA from 1 species
CACGGGGGUUGGAGGGCAAGUCUGGUGCCAGCAGCCGCGGUAAUUCCAGCUCCAAUAGCGUAUAUUAAAGUUGUUGCAGUUAAAAAGCUCGUAGUUGAACCUUGGGCCUGGCUGGCCGGUCCGCCUCACCGCGUGUACUGGUCCGGCCGGGCCUUUCCUUCUGGGGAACCUCAUGCCCUUCACUGGGCGUGUUGGGGAACCAGGACUUUUACUUUGAAAAAAUUAGAGUGUUCAAAGCAGGCCUUUGCUCGAAUACAUUAGCAUGGAAUAAUAGAAUAGGACGUGUGGUUCUAUUUUGUUGGUUUCUAGGACCGCCGUAAUGAUUAAUAGGGAUAGUCGGGGGCAUCAGUAUUCAAUCGUCAGAGGUGAAAUUCUUGGAUUGAUUGAAGACUAACUACUGCGAAAGCAUUUGCCAAGGAUGUUUUCAUUAAUCAGUGAACGAAAGUUAGGGGAUCGAAGACGAUCAGAUACCGUCGUAGUC